GAGGCCUUAGCUUAAUUAAAGUGUUUGAUUUGCAAUCAUACGAUGUGAGUUAAUAUCUUACAGGUCUUA
rnacentral:tRNA from 1 species